GCAUGUGUGACAUUAUUUUCGGUUACUUUGCGAGUUAUAGCGAAAGAAACUACCUGGCAGCCCAUAACGGGCAGCUAGCUAAUUUAUGCUAGGUGACAACAGCUGGUUCAUUAACGUUGUAUUAGUUCUAUGCAUUGACGUUGCGAGACCCGUGUGCGUCUGAUUUCAAAUGUAUCCAGGACAGUCGUAGAUACCAUCAGUAGCUCUACACACAUCAAUGACACAGGGGAAGUAAAGUUACCGCUGAUUUUCGGUAUUGCUCCGUCUGACUGUGUGUGUACGGCCACAGUAAAUGUUGAUUAGCCGGUGGAACUUUUCGGUUUGAAAAAAGACGAGACGUGAGACUGCGUGACAGAAGGGGCUGUGUGUGCUUGUGUAUGGGUGCGCGUUUGAAUGGGUGCGUCGUGUGUAGAACUAGAUGCUGCAGUUUGCAGCUGGUUUGAUUCAUGUCGUGGGUCACUUACCAAUGUAUGUAGGCCUAAUUGGCUAUGACCUUUGAAAUAGUUGAAAGUAAAUCCCAGUAGUAUCUAGUGAAACACACAUGCAAACGCCCUUCUGUCCCUCAUUCCCUCAAACUCGAUCUUCUACAUUUGUUGUGUAAAAAGGACAUAGCAAGUUUUUUGUAUCAAUGAUCACUUUAGGAUAUUCCAGUGCAUUUACAUUCAAUAUAUACUGUACCUUGAGUGAGGUAGAAAUGCAUAUUGUUGCAAAUAUAAAUACUGUUAAUUUGUUAUUUUUUGUAAUUAAUCAUUUACUGAAUUUCUUUGUAGAAUAUGUUACUAUUAUUUGGGUUUUUGUUCUCUGCAUAACUGUCUCUUUCACCUAUAUUAAUUCCUCAGCAUUCAAGAUGUUUGUAGGGUCCUCACCUCAGCUACCUCUCACAAGGUGCCCCUGAAAAAGAAAUUCAAGACGUUUGGGUCCUCAGCUCAACUGACCAAGACCUUUGCUCAUUGAAGGCAUGAAGUAAUUUGUGAUGCCCCCACGAUUGCAGUUUUUAAAUCCAGAUGGCUUGCUCUUUUUAACAUGUGCGAGAGCUGGAUGGUCUUUCAACAACACUGCUCCGGGUCUUCAGCAAGAAAGGUGCUUCUCAUGCAAGGAAGAUACAGAGGAUCCUGGUGCCCAUGACUCAGACUGACAACAUUGAUGUGAAGAGGGAGUGCAUGCUGAGGAGCUGACGGUCUACCUGAAUGAAGAGCCAGACAAAGUGGAUGUUGAUCUGGACGGUCCAGCUGAAACGUAUUGUCUUUGUGUGCGUGUGAUCGGCAGAGAGUCCUCAACGACAUUGGUAACGUACCUGUGGCCAUUGCAGUGUUUGUUUUGGUUUAUGCUCUUAAUCUCUGUUACCUUCCAGAAUGGAAGUACACUUUCAAAUUUCUGUUUCAUUCUAACCGUCUGUUUCAUCAGUUUUUGCACUGCUUUUAAAUGUACACUGUGUAAGAUUCUUAGUUGUUUAUUUCCAGAAUUCAUGCUACCCAUUCACUAAUGUUACCUUUUUCAUGAAUACUUAGCACCACCAUUAGGGUGCAUCAGUUGCCCCCUAUGAAAAGAUAUGGC